GGGAGCAAAUGGCGUCGGAACUCUGGAACCUUCCCUUUGGAUGGUUACAUUAAUCCAUAUAAGGAAAUCUCUUUUUAAUGAGGAGGUGAUGGAGUCUCAAACUCUCCCGACCCAUAAUUAGAGCAAACUAAUGAAGCUGUGUUUUGACACACUUUCCAAACUCACGGGCGCCGGCGACACACUCACAACACUGCUGCAGAAUCAUUAGGCUAAUAACACUCGCUCGCAUCCCGUGAAGCUCGCCCUCCCUCAGACGCUGUUUCUGCACCCGCCUGCCCUGUGGACUCCACUGAAGAUAUCAACUGUGAUUAUGAGCACUUUUGUGGAAUUCUAAUGUUAAGAG
rnacentral:sRNA from 17 species